AACGAACGCUGGCGGCAGGCCUAACACAUGCAAGUCGAGCGAAGCCUUCGGGCUUAGCGGCGGACGGGUGAGUAACGCGUGGGAACGUGCCCUUUGGUACGGAAUAGCCCCGGGAAACUGGGAGUAAUACCGUAUGUGCCCUUCGGGGGAAAGAUUUAUCGCCAAAGGAUCGGCCCGCGCUGGAUUAGGUAGUCGGUGGGGUAAUGGCCUACCAAGCCGACGAUCCAUAGCUGGUUUGAGAGGAUGAUCAGCCACACUGGGACUGAGACACGGCCCAGACUCCUACGGGAGGCAGCAGUGGGGAAUCUUAGACAAUGGGGGAAACCUUGAUCUAGCCACGCCGCGUGAUCGAUGAAGGCCUUAGGGUUGUAAAGAUCUUUCAGUGGGGAAGAUAAUGACUGUACCCACAGAAGAAGCCCCGGCUAACUCCGUGCCAGCCGCCGCCGUAA
rnacentral:rRNA from 1 species